rnacentral:rRNA from 1 species
UACCAGCACCCCGAGUGGUCGGGACGAUUAUUGGGACUAAAGCAUCCGUAGUCGGUCCUGCAAGUCUUCCGUUAAAUCCUGCUGCUCAACAGAUGGGCUGCGGGGGAUACUACAGGGCUAGGAGGCGGGAGAGGCAAGCGGUACUUUAUGGGUAGGGGUAAAAUCCGUUGAUCCAUAGAAGACCACCAGUGGCGAAGGCGGCUUGCCAGAACGCGCUCGACGGUGAGGGAUGAAAGCUGGGGGAGCAAACCGG